rnacentral:rRNA from 1 species
GCAUAACGCGAAGAACCUUACCUGGUCUUGACAUAGUAAGAACUUUCCAGAGAUGGAUUGGUGCCUUCGGGAACUUACAUACAGGUGCUGCAUGGCUGUCGUCAGCUCGUGUCGUGAGAUGUUGGGUUAAGUCCCGUAACGAGCGCGAACCCCUGUAUUUAGUUGCCAAUAUUAAGUUAGGAACUCUAAAUAGACUGCCGUAGAUAAUACGGAGGAAGGUGGGGAUGACGUCAAAUCAUCAUGCCUCUUACGUCUUAGGGCUAACACACGCGCUACAAUGGACGGUACAAAGAGACGCGAUAUAGUAAUAUGGAGCAAAACUCAAAAAACCGUUCUCAGUUCAGACUGUGGGCUGCAACCCGCCACACGAAGAUGGAGUUGCUAGUAAUCCCGAAUCAGCACGUCGGGGUGAAUGCGUUCCCGGGU